rnacentral:rRNA from 1 species
GACCGAUAGUGAACCAGUACCGUGAGGGAAAGGCGAAAAGAACCCCGGCGAGGGGAGUGAAAAAGAACCUGAAACCGUGUACGUACAAGCAGUGGGAGCACGCUUAGGCGUGUGACUGCGUACCUUUUGUAUAAUGGGUCAGCGACUUAUAUUCUGUAGCAAGGUUAACCGAAUAGGGGAGCCGAAGGGAAACCGAGUCUUAACUGGGCGUUAAGUUGCAGGGUAUAGACCCGAAACCCGGUGAUCUAGCCAUGGGCAGGUUGAAGGUUGGGUAACACUAACUGGAGGACCGAACCGACUAAUGUUGAAAAAUUAGCGGAUGACUUGUGGCUGGGGGUGAAAGGCCAAUCAAACCGGGAGAUAGCUGGUUCUCCCCGAAAGCUAUUUAGGUAGCGCCUCGUGAAUUCAUCUCCGGGGGUAGAGCACUGUUUCGGCAAGGGGGUCAUCCCGACUUACCAACCCGAUGCAAACUGCGAAUACCGGAGAAUGUUAUCACGGGAGACACACGGCGGGUGCUAACGUCCGUCGUGAAGAGGGAAACAACCCAGACCGCCAGCUAAGGUCCCAAAGUCAUGGUUAAGUGGGAAACGAUGUGGGAAGGCCCAGACAGCCAGGAUGUUGGCUUAGAAGCAGCCAUCAUUUAAAGAAAGCGUAAUAGCUCACUGGUCGAGUCGGCCUGCGCGGAAGAUGUAACGGGGCUAAACCAUGCACCGAAGCUGCGGCAGCGACGCUGAUGCGUUGUUGGGUAGGGGAGCGUUCUGUAAGCCUGUGAAGGUGUGCUGUGAGGCAUGCUGGAGGUAUCAGAAGUGCGAAUGCUGACAUAAGUAACGAUAAAGCGGGUGAAAAGCCCGCUCGCCGGAAGACCAAGGGUUCCUGUCCAACGUUAAUCGGGGCAGGGUGAGUCGACCCCUAAGGCGAGGCCGAAAGGCGUAGUCGAUGGGAAACAGGUUAAUAUUCCUGUACUUGGUGUUACUGCGAAGGGGGGACGGAGAAGGCUAUGUUGGCCGGGCGACGGUUGUCCCGGUUUAAGCGUGUAGGCUGGUUUUCCAGGCAAAUCCGGAAAAUCAAGGCUGAGGCGUGAUGACGAGGCACUACGGUGCUGAAGCAACAAAUGCCCUGCUUCCAGGAAAAGCCUCUAAGCAUCAGGUAACAUCAAAUCGUACCCCAAACCGACACAGGUGGUCAGGUAGAGAAUACCAAGGCGCUUGAGAGAACUCGGGUGAAGGAACUAGGCAAAAUGGUGCCGUAACUUCGGGAGAAGGCACGCUGAUAUGUAGGUGAAGUCCCUCGCGGAUGGAGCUGAAAUCAGUCGAAGAUACCAGCUGGCUGCAACUGUUUAUUAAAAACACAGCACUGUGCAAACACGAAAGUGGACGUAUACGGUGUGACGCCUGCCCGGUGC